CCUACGGGUGGCAGCAGUGGGGAAUAUUGGGCAAUGGGCGCAACCCUGACCCAGCAACGCCGCGUGAAGGAAGAAGGCUUUCGGGUUGUAAACUUCUUUUCUCAGGGACGAAGCAAGUGACGGUACCUGAGGAAUAAGCCACGGCUAACUACGUGACAGCAACGGCGGUAAUACGUAGGUGGCAAGCUGUCUCCGGUUUUACUGGGUGGACAGGGCGUGUCGGCGGGAAAGCAAGUCAGAUGUGAACACCGUGGGCUCAACCUGUGGCCUGCAUUUGAAACUGUUUUUCUGGAGUACUGGAGAGGCAGAUGGAAUUCCUAGUGUAGCGGUGAAAUGCGUAGAUAUUAGGAGGAACACCAGUGGCGAAGGCGGUCUGCUGGACAGCAACUGACGCUGAGGCGCGAAAGCGUGGGGAGCAAACAGGAUUAGAUACCCUGGUAGUC
rnacentral:rRNA from 1 species